GAUGAACGCUGGCGGCGUGCCUAAUACAUGCAAGUCGAGCGAACGGACGAGAAGCUUGCUUCUCUGAUGUUAGCGGCGGACGGGUGAGUAACACGUGGAUAACCUACCUAUAAGACUGGGAUAACUUCGGGAAACCGGAGCUAAUACCGGAUAAUAUUUUGAACCGCAUGGUUCAAAAGUGAAAGACGGUCUUGCUGUCACUUAUAGAUGGAUCCGCGCUGCAUUAGCUAGUUGGUAAGGUAACGGCUUACCAAGGCAACGAUGCAUAGCCGACCGAGAGGGUGAUCGGCCACACUGGAACUGAGACACGGUCCAGACUCCUACGGGAGGCAGCAGUAGGGAAUCUUCCGCAAUGGGCGAAAGCCUGACGGAGCAACGCCGCGUGAGUGAUGAAGGUCUUCGGAUCGUAAAACUCUGUUAUUAGGGAAGAACAUAUGUGUAAGUAACUGUGCACAUCUUGACGGUACCUAAUCAGAAAGCCACGGCUAACUACGUG
rnacentral:rRNA from 1 species